UACGUAGGUGGCAAGCGUUGUCCGGAUUUACUGGGCGUAAAGAGCGCGCAGGCGGUCGGAUAAGUCGAAUGUGAAAGCCCCCGGCUCAACUGGGGAGGGUCAUUCGAUACUGUUCGACUCGAAGGCAGGAGAGGGAAGUGGAAUUCCCGGUGUAGUGGUGAAAUGCGUAGAUAUCGUCAAGAACACCGAUAGUGUAGACAGCUAACUAAGCUCUAACUGACGCUGAGGCACGAAAGUGUGGGGAUCAAACAGG
rnacentral:rRNA from 1 species